AUGACCAGAUGGCUGAUGCAAAGGUUGUGCUCCAUUCCAUCCCCAUCCAUCGCUGCCCACGGCCACGGCCGCCCCCGCCUUCUUCCUUCAUCCCCCCUCUUCAGUUCUCCCGGUGCUCCCACUAUUAGAGAUUGUGUCUCCAUUUAUUAUCGUGAGAAAGAGAAACUGAAGAAGUUCUUUAAAGAAAACUGUGAAAGAGUCAGCCUAACAACCAACACCUGGACAUCUAUGCAACAACAGAGCUAUAUGUGUGUUACCGCUCAUUUCCUUGACACUGACUGGAAGCUACAUAAGAGGAUUAUUGGGUUCUUCUUGAUUAGUUGUCGUAAUGGGGAAGACAUUGGGAAGGACAUCGAGAGGUGUUUGGUGUAUUGGGGCUUAGAGAAGAUGGUUAUGAACAAUGCUAAAACCAGCAUAGCAGAAGGACAAUAUUUUCACAUGAGAUGUGCUACCCAUGUCAUAAACUUGAUAGUUUCAGAUUUCCUAAGAGAGUUGGAUAUCCCAGUGCAGCGAGUCAGUCCGUUUUAUCAGAAAUUCUCCAUCUAG
rnacentral:rRNA from 1 species